rnacentral:rRNA from 1 species
AGUGAACGCUGGCGGUAGGCCUAACACAUGCAAGUCGAACGGCAGCACAGUAAGAGCUUGCUCUUACGGGUGGCGAGUGGCGGACGGGGGAGGAAUACAUCGGAAUCUACUUUUUCGGGGGGGAUAAAGGAGGGGAACUUACGCUAAUACCGCAUACGACCUACGGGUGAAAGCAGGGGAUCUUUGGACCUUGCGCGAUUGAAUGAGGCGAUGUCGGAUUAGCUAGUUGGCGGGGUAAAGGCCCACCAAGGCGACGAUCCGUAGCUGGUCUGAGAGGAUGAUCAGCCACACUGGAACUGAGACACGGUCCAGACUCCUACGGGAGGCAGCAGUGGGGAAUAUUGGACAAUGGGCGCAAGCCUGAUCCAGCCAUACCGCGUGGGUGAAGAAGGCCUUCGGGUUGUAAAGCCCUUUUGUUGGGAAAGAAAAGCAGCAGGUUAAUACCCCGCUGUUCUGACGGUACCCAAAGAAUAAGCUCCGGCUAACUUCGUG